rnacentral:misc_RNA from 1 species
GAAAUGCGAUAAGUAAUGUGAAUUGCAGAAUUCAGUGAAUCAUUGAAUCUUUGAACGCACCUUGCGCUCCUUGGUAUUCCUUGGAGCAUGCCUGUUUGAGUAUCAUGAAAUCUUCAAAGUAAAUCUUUUGUUAACUCAAUUGGUUUCUACUUUGGUAUUGGAGGUCUUUGCAGCUUCACACCUGCUCCUCUUUGUUCAUUAGCUGGAUCUCAGUGUUAUGCUUGGUUCCACUCGGCGUGAUAAGUUAUCUAUCGCUGAGGACACUGUAAAAGGUGGCCAAGGUAAAUGCAGAUGAACCGCUUCUAAUAGUCCAUUGACUUGAACAAUACUUUUAUGAUCUGAUCUCAAAUCAGGUAGGACUACCCGCUGAACUUAAGC